GAAUAAGAUGAAAGCAGAUUGUAAGGUGAAAUGGAUAGCUGUAGCGGUGAAAAUCCGUUUUGACGGUAGCGACCUCAACGAAACAGAAGGUUGCAGUUCCGGAACAGUUUCAACUGAACGAUGCACUUGAUCUACACACUUUGCUGAUUUUGAUGAAAGAGAUAGAGAAUAAGAUAGAUGAUAAUGAUCAUCAUCAAGAACAAUAACUGAAGUAUCUUGGGUUUGUGAGAAUUGCUGCUAUUCAUGCUUUUGUUUGCAUGUCCAGUCUUUAUGAUUAUGCAAAACAGAAUUCGGGAUCUUUGAGAUCUGCUGUUGGAACCGUUGAAGACUGUGAUUCGAUUUGCGAUCUUUUUUUGCGGAGGAUGGAAUUGGAGGAAGAAGUGAGGAGGGAACUCGCAAUCGAGAGAGAAUUGGGGAUUUCAAUACAGAGGCCGCUGAAUAUUCAGGGACUAAUGUCGCAAUGGUCAAAUUCAAUGCUGAUGAAUCCUGUUGUUGUUGGCCAUAUUGGUGCGUCGCAACAACAAUUGAUUACUUGGAACUGAUAUUUAUUGAU